UAGAGUUUGAUCAUGGCUCAGAUUGAACGCUGGCGGUAUGCUUAACACAUGCAAGUCGAACGGAAACGAUACUAGCUUGCUAGUAGGCGUCGAGUGGCGGACGGGUGAGUAACGCGUAGGAAUCUACCAGAUAGUGGGGGAUAGCCCGGAGAAAUUCGGAUUAAUACCGCAUAAUCUCUACGGAGUAAAGGAGGCCUCUAUUUAUAUGCUUUCGCUAUCUGAUGAGCCUGCGUAAGAUUAGCUAGUUGGUGAGGUAAAAGCUCACCAAGGCGACGAUCUUUAGCUGGUCUGAGAGGAUGAUCAGCCACACUGGGACUGAGACACGGCCCAGACUCCUACGGGAGGCAGCAGUGGGGAAUAUUGGACAAUGGGGGCAACCCUGAUCCAGCAAUACCGCGUGUGUGAAGAAGGCCUGAGGGUUGUAAAGCACUUUCAAUUGUG
rnacentral:rRNA from 1 species